rnacentral:ncRNA from 1 species
ACUGCCCAUCGCUGCUGCCAAUGGGAUGGUUUAGUGAGGUCCUCGGAUCGGCCCUGGGGGGUUGGCCCCAGCCCUGCUGGAGCAUUGGGAAGAAGGUUGAACUCAAAUAUCGAGAGGAAGUAAAGUUGUAACAAGGCUUUCGCAGGUGAAAACGGCUUCGAGCU